ACGCCCCUAAAUCCUAAACUGGCACAUAAAGAAAUGUUAGAGUUUCCUACUAAUAAGUACGAUUUGGUGGUUGCGUUCAUGAGCGUUGAACUCCUAAAUACAAUCUUUGCUACAUGAUUUGAACGAACCAUCAGUGUUUUAGCACCACUAAACACCAAAUAUAUGGUAUCUGCAGCAGCACGUGACCCAUAACUCAAAUCUUAUUGGUCGGCGCGCUCUCAGCCUAAACGAACACAAAUCGACACACUCACCGAUGAAAAAAAUGUUCGGGUCGAAUACUCCCUAGAGAAAGAAUCCUGCCAAGAGAGCUGGAUGCCACAUCCUUCUCAUCUGUGAGGUUGUUUAAUGAUGAACCCCAGACACAUGUGUGCUGUCGCCACCAUACAACCCAGCACCAUAUACAGCCCAAAUGACCCAGCCACCGAGGAUCAGAAUCUACACACUAAGUGGCCCCAUCAAAUAAGCCAGCAUAUUAAGCAUGGCCAAGAACCGAAUAUAUGGAUUUGUGGUUUCAACCAAGACUUUUCAGGGUACAGAUCAGGGGAUAUUUCAGGACAGUCUUCACCUCACAACGCCUCCAGGCUUUCAUAUCUCUGUCCAAACAGAGCAUCCAAGUAGCGUAUUAUUUUUGCUCUGUAGAAAGAUCUCAAGUCCUCGCUCAAGGCUUCAACAUCAGGAUUCAUAGACAUAAGAGCUAAGAGGAACUGAAAUAGCUUCUCAUGUCAACUUCUGCUUAUGGACAGCACCGCACACAGCUUGUGUAGAGUCUGUACAUGGAGGAAUCCUAACCAGUAUGGCUUUGGUUCUUCUGUAGGACACAAAUAAGAUACUUUGAAGAAUGUUUGAACUGUUUUUGACCAUUUGCUUUCAUUGUAUGGACACAGAGACAUUUCUUUAAUAUCUUCUUUUUGUGUUUUCAGUCAUACAGGUUUGGAGCAACACAAGAUUUAGUAAAUUAUGGAAGAAUUGUUUUUUGGGUGGACUGUUCUUUUAAUUCCAGUGAGUUUCUUUAAACAAGGACAAGCCUCUUGUCCAUCUGUGUCUCAAUGAAUUUAAGUUAGUGAGUAAAGUUGCAGAGGAAACAGCACACCCACUCUGAGGUGCCUCACAUCUUCUGCUCAGGUUCUUGCCACAGAUUCAGGCGAAUUUGAAGAGAUGUUCCAACCUGUCCUCCAUCCAGGUCUGGCAGCACACCCACGCUUUCUGUGGGCUGUCUGCAUGCAUAUUUAUGUUCCAGUAAUGCCUGAGAAGAAACAUGAGUCACAAGAGGGGGAGAAAGAAUACAAAUGUGGCACGGUAGCCCACACUAUCAGUCUUGUUAUAAAAUAGAAAACAGUACUUUGGAUUAUUUCAGUAUUUGCAUAGUCUCUGAAUGCAUGUUUCACUCAAAAAAUUUCUCACCCUUUGCCAUUUCAAACC